rnacentral:piRNA from 1 species
UGUCUUGAUGCUGACCUCCACUCAGAGCC